UCUGAACCAAAUCCUAACAAACCCAAUCCAACCCACGGACACUGUAGCGCGACCUGCAAGCAAUUCUUCAGGGCGAUGCCACGGCAGCCGCGCUCCCAGCGUCGUGCGCGCCUGGCUUCUUGCGGCGUCGGUGAUAUGCAAUCCCGACCAUAACAUCUUUGGACGUAUAUAUGUGCAUAUCUAAAUAUCUAAUGGAAUUUUACUACAUGUCUUUAUGUUCUGAGUCAACGAGAGUAAUGAUAAGAAGUGUUGUGUUCUGGUCGGAGGAUCGUAGGAGGGUAAGCGCUGCCACAAUACAACGUGAUGAUUUUAUUGUUUAAUGAAAUAUCCAUUUUUCUAAAAAAAGGGUGUUGGUCCUAGUAAAUUGGCAAUGCUGAAUUCUUAGUGUGACAAAUUCAUACCUUCUGUCAACAAAUUUAUGUGCUUCUUCGUCGUGCUCGUUUUGUAGAACUGCAGAUUUCUCACUUAAGUCUUCUUUCACAAAAUGCUCCUGUUUCAUUGGAGUCCUACAUUCUUCCUCUCGUGUCCCCACACAGUCAUUAUCCUUAUCAUGAAAGGUCCAAUCCACACACCGUAUGUUGACGCUAGGACGUCCUGGAUGCAUCAUAAAGGCGUUAGUCAAAGCUGACUCUGCAAAUCUUCUACAAUGAUCAUGAGCAGUACAGGCGACCCUAAUUUUUGCAGAGAUCUCUUCAAGUCCAGACAGAUGUUCGAUGCCAACAGGAAUAAUAUCAUGCUGAUCUGCUAUAUGGACAUCAAAACCUAGCUUGAGCUUCCUUAGACUAGGCAUUGCACCCAUCUCAAAUUUCAUCCAUGCUACACUGCAUAUAAACUCGAAGUAUUUGAGGAUUGAGAACCCUGCAUUGUCAAAGACAAUCCUUUCUGCAGGCUUUGUGUGGACAUAAAGUGACAAAACAGUGAGUUUCGGUAAUACUCCUAGAACAUCAAUACUAUUACUUGUUACUUCCCUUAUCCCAAUCUUCAAAAUGCAGAGGUUUCCAAGCUGCCCAAUCCAAUUUGGGAGGUUAGAAAAGAUGCAAACACAUGGUAACAACUCAAACCUCUGAAGAAGGGCUGGUGGAGAGGACACACUGCUCCAGCCAUCAACAUUGAUCCUCGUCCUGUCAAUAUGUAGAGUAUCUGGACAGGAAGAGCCAGGAGGCGAUAAAGUUAUAGAUGUGAGAUUACGGAGUUUCCCCAGAAUGGAUCCAAGAUAUUUCAUAUUAUCCUUCAGAUUGUCAGAAUGUAUUUCAGAAUAGGUGAGCUGCAAAUCCCGGAGAUUGCUCAGCUCACCAAGGCUCCAUAGAUUCUCCGCUGAGUUACAGCUGAGAUCAAAAUAUCCAAUUGUACGAAGCGAUGUCAUGUGGACAAUUCCACUGGGCAGGUUUGUCUUAGCAGGAAGAGUAAGAUGCAGCAAACGUGGCAAAUAAAUGUCUGUUGGAACUUCACUUAUUGUCCCAUCUAUUUUCAGUGUCUCCAAAUAUGGUAGACCUUGCAUCUGGGUUGGCAGUUUUACGGUGACAUUAGAGGUGACCUUCAAAUAUCUCAGUCGAACAAGUUCUGAAAUUUUAGUGAGAUCAAAAAUGCCGAUGCUAUCCUCAUCACCCAAAAUAUGUAGAACUAGAACUUUAAUAAGUCGAAACUCCAUAACGAAAGGCAUAUACUUCAAGACCCCGAAGAAGGCAACUGUCCGAACUUGGGACAAUCUCAUACUGGUAGGCGGAGUUGCAUCUUCUACGUUACUAAAGUGGAUAGAUAAUCGUCGAACCUUGUCAGCAAAUCUUAUAGUUGCCUGUGAAUGGUCUAUUGCAAUAAUAAAAUUUUCUUCUAUUGACUUGUAUGUAACGAAAUUGAGUACCAUAUGGUGAACUACACAGGACAAAACCUCACCACUGUCAUCGAUAUGUACAGGCUGGAUGAUUUUUCUGCCCACAAGCUCAUCAAAAUAGGCCCUUGAAAUUUCUUCCUUGUCAUGCCCUUCAGUUGCACAGAUAAAACCUUCAGCUAUCCAUUGACUCACUAAAUCAUCUUUCCAAAUUAUGUGAUCUUCUUGAUACAUACUAAGAUACAACAUGCAUACCUUCAAAUGCUGAGGAAGAUUGUUGUAACAAAUGUUCAGUAGUUGUUUCAUCCCUUCCAAAGUAGGAUUUGCCAUCAAACCGUAACCUAAGGAUUUGUUUAUAUAAUCCAAUUGUUCUUGUUUCUCAAGCUGGCUUGCUAAAAGACUAGCAACAGUGACAAUAGCUAGCGGCAAACCACCACAUUUCCUUACAAUAUCAUAUAAUGUUUCACUGACUUCUGGAGGACACUUAGAAUGAGAGCCAAAGACUAUACUGAAAAAUAGUUUUCUUGAGUCACCCUCACCAAAAGGUUUCAUCUUGAAAAUAAAUUUCAAGUCAUAACUACAAGAUUGCAAAGCUAGAUCCUCAAUUUCUGUUGUGGUUAGUAUUCUGCUGGAACUAUUACCAUCCGGCAAAGCGCACUUAAUAACAUCCCAUGUGGAUGUAGCCCAUAAACCAUCAAUUAUGAUCAAGUACCUGCGAUUAAGGGGAGAAUUUUUAACAUAACUAAAUGGAAGCUCCACUUGUUGUUAGUAUUCUGCUAGAAUUUGCAUGAUGAAAUGGUAAACAUUAGGUGUAAGACGGAUUUUUCUCUCGAUUUUGUACACUAUGCAACUUAUAACAGCCAUCUUGAGGCUAAAAAUGAUUAGAAGACAUGAUGAAAUAUAAGAGGUAGGAUUAGAAUAGGAAAUGAGUGGAUUGUUAAGAUAAAAUAAGGUGACAGGAAUGGAUGGCUACCAUUAAACCUUACCCUUUGAUGGGUGGGAUAUCUUUUCCCAAUCUCAUUUGCUAAAUGAGCCCUAAUUGUGGCUAAGGCUGAUAUCAGGGAUAGCAAGCAACAGACACACCCUGCUAUUGUUAUGUUAUACAUUACAUAUAAUUUAGUAGUAUAGACUUCAGAGGAGCUGGUAUCUGUCUUUCUUAUCUAUCUGCCACUUCAAUGAAAUAUUGAACCCAUGCAUUCAAUCCUUGACUAAAAAAUUUGUAUUUAUACUUAUGAAGAUAAUAUUAGUAUCAGUACAACAGUCAAAUGCACCGAUUAACAAUUAGUAGCAGACACAAACAAAAACAAGGAAAUAGUCAGUUUCACACCCCGAAAACAUUGUACGUACCUCUUAUCUUGCAGAUGUGUCCUGAUACUGGAAAUUAGGCUAUGCACCUUCCAAUUGUCAGGUGACUGGUGCGGCUGAACCUGUGAGAGGAUAUUGAUGAGAAGCCUCCUCAUAUCAGUCUUCUGAGAUGUCUGCACAAAUGCCCAGCACUCGAACUGCCGCUGAAGCUUGCAGUACAGCUUGUUGGCGAGCGUAGUCUUGCCAACUCCUCCAACUCCCACGAUGGACACCACCUUGAGCUUCUCCUCUCCGCACACAUCGAGCAAGUUUUCAAGCUUGUUCACCGCGGCGUUGAUGCCAACAAGACCCGCGGACUCCAUGAACCGCGUGGGUUGCCUAGAUGAGGUAGAAGAUACAUCACCUCUAGUGGUAGUAGAAGUAGUGGUGAUACCAGUGGGUAUGUUUUUGAGCUUGUUCAGGAUGGCUUCCACAUCGGGGUGGAUAUGACGCACUUUAUUGGCGUGCUCCCUGAACUGCACGAGAGAAGCAGUCGGGAUACUAGCGAGCAAGUUUUUGAGCUUGUUCAGGUCAUUCAGGGCAGCUUCCAUACCAUCGGCGUCUAUACCGACAGAACAGACGUUGUCGGUGUGCUCUCUGAACUGCGUGGGAUGCCAAGGUGUUGCAGAGCAUACAUCUCCUCCAGUAGUAGAAGCAAUGGUGAUGCCACCAAGGUUGUUGUACAUGGUGUGGCGUUGAAGCGCCUCCUGGGUGCGCAGGCUGAAUUCUCUGAUCUUGUUGGCCAUCCACAACCGCUGCUUAAGUUUCCAGGGAACCCAAGGGAUCAUCUUUCCAUGCCGCUGAUUGAACUUACGGCGACAAAUAUUAGGUCCAGUAUGUGACCGGGUGGCAGUGGCGGCAUGCUCAUACUGGUCGAUGCAAUCCUCGAUGUCAUAAGAGAGCUCACGUACCUCCUUCAUCCAGCACCUGACCACCAUGGCAUGGUCCUCCAGCUUUGGCUUGCUACAGUGACCAUGGAGGACGGAGAUUAUUUCCUCGAGAUCUUGCUUGAUGAGAGGUAUCUCCUCCUCUGCCCCCUUGGGCAGCAUGCUGCCAUGACGACGCAGGAGCCGGUCGAGCCUUCCUGGGAGGUUGAACAUGGAGCCCUCCAUUGAUAUCUUCUCUGUAAACAAAUCAAGUGCAUGUUACAGAUUUGCAUGGCAUGGGGCAUUAAAUGACUGCAAACAAAGAGCUGAAAAAGAAGGAAAUAAUACAAUGGAAUCACUAAAACAGACAAGAGAGGGAUUACUGAACCUACAAGCUGAAGGCAUCAGAUGAUCAGAGUAGCAUGAGCGAGCUCUCCAAGCGGUUGGACUUAGGAGAGAGUUCUUCCAUUUUGCUUCAUUCCUAGCUUCCAAAUCCAAUGCUUUCCUCUCCUUGAGGAUUAGCUUUCGGUUUGCAGCCAACAGUGGUCGUCUGGUCAAUUCAGCCAUUCAACAAUAUUUUCUUCAGAAUAAAUGAUCGAUUGGCCACUGUGUGGUGUAGCUGUUGGACACUUCAAUAAUCACUACUUGACAAGCACUGAAGCACCUUUCAAGAUAUAUGCUUUACACACCAAUCCUCAAGUAUCCCUGAAAUUGAGAAUUACAUAUCAAUGCUCAAACUUCACAUUAUUUACAUUUGUCUCAAAAUGCAGACUCAUCUGUCAAAGUUUCACAAUUUACACACACUGCCCCAUAUUAUGUUUUGCACAUUUUAUGAUUUACAAAUGCAUGAUACGCUGGACUAUCGACAAAAAAUAUCUAUCUUAAAUAACUAAAAACCUGAAUGGCAAAGAGCAAAACGAUUAGUAAACAGGCUUUUACACUAAACGUAAAGGGAUUAGUAGACAAGCUUUUGCACACACUAAAACAAAUCCUUUCUCAAUAAAAGCGCGCUUAUUUUGUACUGAAAUGUGAAAUAUGUUAUGAAUUUAUGAACAAAAACCUUUCAGAGAUAUAUGUCCUGUAUUAUGAACAAGAUUCUUAAGUACCUUAUCGAUAUAAAGCUACUGAUCUGAUUAUCUGAAUAUUUAAAAUGGCAUUUAAUGAUCAGCAGUUUGUGUAAAAAAACACAUACUUGUCAACAAAGAUAUUGUAAUAUGAUUUUGCACUCAGUUGGGGGUAUCCACGCAUAUACACAUAUGCAUGGUGAGCUAUUGACUUGCUGAAGACUUAGAGGUUGCAUGCUUGCAGCUGCUGCUGCUCCUCCCUCUAGCAGUCUGUCUGAUCCACAAAAGUAUCUCUGCAUCUCUUGUGUGAGCCAGGUCGCAUGCAAGCAACAAAACACGCCCAUACUUGUCCAUAGAGUCUGCUGCGGCGAGUGCUUUCUGGGAGGCCAUCAUGGGGAAGCUGUUCAUGGUGCUGGAGAACCAGUACAACAAGCACAAGGUCCUCGAGCAAGAAAUCAGCUCCCUCCAGCAAGAGUUCCGCAUGAUUGCCGCCGUCAUGGACGACCAGCUCCUUUCUAUGGGCAGGAGCGAAGCACGCACAUCUGUUGCAUGGCUGCACAACGAGGAGAUGCUCGAUCUUGAGCAUGACAUUGAGGACUGCGUCGACCGUUUCAUGCACCUCCUCACCUGCAAGCAUCAUCGUGGUGGGGUGCGCCAGAUGGCACAUGAGGUAAAGAUCCGCUCGAGCUUCAGUGAAGAGAUCCAGAAGCUCAGGAGGCGCCUCAGUGAGGUGCGCCAGUGAGUCGUCAACAUCAAUUCACCUAUUGCCCGUCAAUCAGCCAGGUCAUCGUCAUCGACUCCGUAUCGUGCUGCGCACAGUCUGGUGGGCAUUAGGCAGCCCAUGGAGGAGCUCCUCUCGCUGCUAGAUGAAGUGGAGGGCGAGCCAAAGCAGUUGAGGGUGACCUCCAUCGUGGGGUUCAGUGGCUUGGGGAAGACCACCCUCGCCAAGGCGGUCUACGAUAGCCCUCAUGCAAAGGAUAAAUUCUGCCUCCGUGCGUGGAUCACCGCUGAUGGCUCACCGGAAACGAGCAAUUGGAUGAAGGAGAUCCUGCGCGGUGUACUCCAGCAAGUGCGUCCCGGCGAUGCCAUGGAUGUCGAUGGCCAGCAUCUUGAAGCCUCGCUCAAGGAGUACCUCAAGGACAAGAGGUGAACCUCACCGUUAGGCGCUUUUAUUUUUAUUUCCUUUACAAGAACAUUUUUCAUUUUUAAGUACACCAAUAACUCUUCACGUGGAAUGUUCUUGGUUCAAUUAGCUAAUUUAAUUAUCUAAAAGAUUGUUCACUAAUGACCAUUGCAUAUGAAAAUUUAUUUUUACUUAACCUUUUCACCUUGUUUUUCAAUUUGACCCUCUUAAUAUUCCUCCUCAAUUCUCAAUUUGGUUAUUAGGUAUUUAAUUAUCAUCGAUGACAUCAGGAUGGAUCAAUGGAGGAUCAUAAGUUCAGCCUUUGAAAAUAAUGGUACAGGCAGCAGGAUAUUACUUACCACAACUAUUCAGUCAGUAACUAAUAGGUGCAGCCAUGGCAAUGGUUAUGUGUAUCAAAUGAACACACUUGGUAAAGAAGACUCUGAGGAACUAGCUUUUUCAGUGCUUAGAUCACCUGAGUUGGAGAACCAUUCAGAAUCAUUACUAGGGAAAUGUGAUGGUCUUCCUCUUGCUCUGGUCAGUGUCUCUGAUUAUCUGAAGAGCUCAACUGAGGCAACGGGAGAGUUGUGUGCAAAGCUAUGCCGUGAUCUGGGUUCUCAUCUGACAGGAAACCAUGGCCAUGACAACUUUUCAGAACUCAGGAAGGUGCUUCUUGGCAACUAUGACAGUUUUUCCGGCUCUGCUCUGAGUUGCUUGCUGUAUCUUGGUAUAUUCCCAAACAAUCAUCCUCUCAGGAAGAAAGUUCUAAUCCGGCGGUGGUUAGCUGAAGGAAACGCAAGAAGUGAUGACCCUUGGCGCAGUGAAGAGGACACUGCAGAUGACAAUUUCAGUAACCUUAUUGACCAGAAUAUCAUUCAGCCAGUUGACACAAGAAACAAUUCUGAAGUGAAGACGUGCAAAACUCAUGGAAUUAUGCAUGAAUUUUUGCUGAACAGGUCCUUGGCCAAGAGAUUCAUCACGACAUCACCGCAUGAUCCAAGAGUUGGAAUCAAUACUACCAAUUCACGCCACCUUUCUGUUGAUGCUGCUAAACAGACAAAAUGCAUGGCAUCUGACGAGGAAUUAUCUCGAGUCCGAUCUCUGACAAUCUUUGGGGAUGCAGGUGAUGCAAUUUCUUAUCUUCACAAGUGCAAUCUGAUACGAGUCUUGGAUCUACAAGAAUGCAGUGAUUUGAACGAUAAUCAUCUGAAACGCAUAUGUGUACUGUCACCGUGGCAUCUGAAAUACCUGAACCUUGGGGGCAAUAUCAGUGAGCUUCCAAGGAGUAUUGAAGGGCUGCAUUGUUUAGAGACACUGGAUUUAAGGGAAACAGAGAUAAAGUUUUUGCCCAUUGAAGGUAUCAUGCUGCCCCACUUAGCUCACUUGUUUGGAAAGUUUAUGCUUCACAAAGAUGAUCUGAACAAUGUGAAGAAGAUAAGUAAACUAUUAAAAUUGUUUUCAUCAAAUAAAAGCAACUUGCAAACUUUAGCAGGAUUUAUCACUGACGGGAGGAAAGGAUUUCUUCAACUUAUUGGUCAUAUGAAAAAACUGAGGAAGGUUAAGAUAUGGUGCAGGCAUGUUGAAGGUAGCAGUAAUUACAUUGCUGAUCUUUCAAAGGCCAUUCAGGAAUUUACCAAGGCUCCCAUUGACAUGGACAGAGUCCGUUCUCUCUCAAUUGAUUCCGAAGAAUACUGUGAAAAAUUCCUAAGUUCACUUGAUUUGGAGCCAUGCUCUGAAUAUUCGAAAUACCAUCUAAGUUCACUAAAGAUACAUGGCAAGUUACUCCGGUUGCCUCCAUUUUUUAGUUCUUUGUCAGGUCUCAUUGAUCUGUGUAUUACACCAGCUACUCUGACACAAGAUCAUCUAUCAGCACUGAUAAAUCUGAACAGACUGCUGUACCUCAAACUGAUUGCUGACAAGCUCGAGAAUUUAGAGAUAAAACAUGAAGCACUACUGAGCCUGAGACGCCUGUGCUUUGUGGUGAAAAGUGUGGCGUUAGCGCAGCCAAAAAUCGAGCAAGGAGCUCUACCAAACCUUGUUUCACUUCAGCUGCUCUGUCAAGGACUAGUUGGUCUUUCCGGCAUCGAGAUCAGACACCUGAAAAAUCUCAAGGAAGUUACGAUUGACUCUGGAGUGACUGCGCAAACAAGGCAAGAUUGGGAACAAGCUGCAAAGAACCACCCUAACAGGCCUAGAGUUUUGUUGCUCGGAAAGGUUGAUCCAGUGGAAAGCGAGGAACCGGGAAGACCCUGUGCCAUAAGGGGGAGGGGGAAAAGUUCUAUAGGCCAAGAAAGUUCAGAAGAUGGUUCAGAUUCUAGCCUUAAGAGGAUGAGACUUGCAGAGCCUUCUUCUUCUUCGCAGCUUCAGGUGACCGGCCAUCCGCAUCCGGUGGUGGUAGCAGCCACCGAAGCAGCAUCCCAGCCUUCCAUGGCAAAUCUCUAGCACAUUUAUACAACUUAAGCAGACAGGCUGCAAUAAAGACUGUAAUAUUGACCUUUUGCAGAGUUAAAUGUAUCCUAUAUAUCGGGAUACCCAAAUUAUGAACCGAGUUUCGUGUAAAAAACAUGGGUUAAUGUCUGAAAUUUCUGCUUUUCUUACUGAAACAAAAACUGAAUGUAGUUGAAGUUCAACUUUAAGGACUACUAGUAGUUCUUCUUACGAAGAAUGUAAAACACGCAUGAUGACUUAAUCAGUGUGCCCUCGUCGAUCAAAACAAAGUCCCCCAAGUUGUAAAUUCUGACGGAGCUUCCUUCUCAUCUCAUCUCACCAGAAUAAUGCAACAAAUCAAUAGGACAACACCGCUAUUCAGAUCCUGUGUGGAGGACUCACCGAAUCCGGCGGCCGGCCGGCCGCGAUGCAGACGAGGGCUCCCUCCGCCCCAUCCGCCCAUCGAGGAUCGACCAGAUGGACGGACGGAGGAAGAAGAAUGGACGGGCGCAGAAGAACAAGAUGGAGCUCCCCCCCUCGUACUCGCAGGUAGCGUGCCUCCAUUGCCGUGGGAAUUGGGACGCGGCGGUGCGCGCCGCCGCUCUUCCCCUCCCCAUCCCCUCGUCGUCGUCGGGCUCCAGGUUGUCGAUCUUAGGGGACCUAAAGUGAACUUAAUCUCGAUCUUACUACCUCUUGUUCUAGAUGGACCGAGCCCAGGAUCGGUUGCAAUUGUAGCGAUCCGAUGUCUUGACAGGUGGGGCCCGUAAUUCACAAGGAAAAAGUCUAUUAUCCUUCCCUCACUACAAGGCCGAGUUUGAUUCUCGUCCCUGCAGAACCAGAUACCUCGUACCUCCAUCGACUAUCAAUACCAGUUUGUUUUGACUCUCUUGGCAGUUUGCAAGGCAGUUUCAGCUUAUGUGGAGCCUACUCCCUCCAUUCCACAAAAAAUGAAUAUAGAACUGGAUAUGACACAUUUUAAUACAGUAAAUCUGGACAAAGGUAUGUCCAGAUUCAUAAUAGUAAGAUAUGUCAUAUUCAGUACGAGGUUAAUUUUUUAUGGGAUAGAGGGAGUACAUGGUACGUUGAUUAGUAGUCAUUGCAUCUUUAUCUCUAUCUCCAUCUCUAUCUUUAUCUCUUUUCUAUCUCUAUCUCUAUCUUUAUCUUUACUAUUAUAAAAAUUCAAAAUGUUUUUCCUAGUGGCUUGGUACGUCAUCCCACUCCUACACAUGCGUGGCUUGGGCACGGUCUGAUCAAUCCACACGCACUGUGAUUUUGAUUUUCCAGUGAAAAACAAAGAUGCCCACGAGUACUACGCCCGUCUACGGCACAACACAAGUACUUAACAUGAUCUGGCCAACUAUUGUGGAUCAUCCUAUUUGAUCUGGCCUAUUUUAGGAUAGGCUGCCCAGGAGUUGCAAAUGUAUAGAGUAGAAACCCAGUUGAAAAAAAAAUCCAUUUUCCUCUAUCAAUUAUACCCCAAUUUAAUUUUUUACCUCACCCGUAAAACCAUAUGUGGAGGUUUCCACAAAUAUCAUAGCCGUUUCGUUUUUCUUUAGAGAGAGGUAUUAUUCUAAAUGAUAUAUUUAUCCGACGUGACGCUUAUAUUGUAGUACUCCCUCCAUCCCUAAAUGUUUGACGCCGUUGACUUUUUUAAACAUGUUUGACCGUUCGUCUUAUUCAAAAACUUUUGUGAAAUACGUAAAACUAUAUGUAUACAUAAAAGUAUUUUUAACAAUAAAUCAAAUGAUAGGAAAAGAAUUAAUAAUUAAUUAAAUUUUUUAAUAAGACGAACGGUCAAACAUGUUUAAAAAAGUCAACGGCGUCAAACAUUUAGGAGAUGGAGAGAGUAUAUUAUAGUUAGCAAAAAAAAAUCAAGGGGAUCCACGUGUCAGUGACACACCACCCCCUCAUUUUCUCUCUCUCUCUCUAGCUUCCUUCUUCAUCUUUCCUCUCUCUUCUUAUCUCUUCCUCCUCUCCACCAAGCUCCUGAUGCAAGUAGUGUCCAAGAAAGAAACAAAAGAAUCACUAAAACUCAACACACACGAAAUGAGUUUUUCUACGAAGAUUGUUUCGACUGCAUUUUAUUUUUACUUUUUUUUUUUUGCCUUGGACAUAACCAUUUGGAGUGUACACAAUCCUCAACCAGGACAUCCCUUCAUAAAGGUGCCAUAUAUAUGAUCCGGAAAACAACAUCCAUGUGUGAGUUUGAGCAUCAUUGUACAUGAAUUAACUAAAACACUUACAGUAAAUGCAAUAUCUGAUAGAGUGCAAUAAGAAAGAUAAACCAGUCGCCUAACAAGCCUGUGACAGCACUUGUCUUGAAACCAAGAAGGGACGAGAACCGAGCAGUGCUCGGGUGGCUAGCGUCGCUGGUGUGCGAGCAGUCCACACGAGUUCGAUUUCUGGGAUCGCAACUCGCGUGUCUCACCUAGCUAGGGUUUUUCCCUGUUUUCCCUAGGAUCAAUUUUGGUUGGUCCUGGUUAGAAAAUAGGGUACACACGUGGGUGCUUCAGUGGGAAUACACGUUUCCCGUGCACUGAGGCUUAGUGCCUCCUAGGCCUCCAAUAUCAAUUCUAGCGUGUGUUGAGAAACGCGCACGCGUGUGUGUGGGCGCGCGUAGUGUAUGAGUGUGGUGUGCGUACGUGUGCGUCCUGAGCUGUACCCUCUAAAGAAAAAAAGUAGGUAUGAAAGUCCCCACCUGACAUGCCAAGCUCUUUUAUAAUUAAUGUAUAAUCCCUUAAAGCAAAAUCUUCGGUUCGCCGAAACACAUCAGUACGUAGUACAACAUAGCAUUGGCGGCCAUCCAUUGGGCAGACUAAUUAUUCCGAUUGCUUGAGCAACUGCACUUUUCUCGGUCUCGUUCGAGCUUCUGCAUGAAUCCAUUUUAGCAUAGUGAGAGCUUUAUAAUUUCAAGUGGAUACUUUUCUUAUCUACCAAUAUCUUUUUCAAUUUACUGUAAUAUAAUUUGUCCCAAUAGUGUAACUUAUAUGUUAGACCCUUUUUUUCCAUGGUGUGAAAUAAAGUAUGUUCUGAGUUAAACUUAAAAGUAUAAUUUGGUUACAUCCCUUACUAAAUAUGAAAAAAAAAAUCCAACAUAGAGAUGAACGUAAGAAAUUAAAACACAUCUUAUUAGUUAACUGUGAAUAUAUAAAGAACAUAAACCAAAAAGUUAUAGUGAAGUUGUACACUUGUACUAAAGUUGCAAUUUUAUAUACUACCUCUGUCUCAUAAUAAUUGUAUUUUUAGGAUUUGAAUUUGUCCUAAAAUAAUUAUCACAAUAGAGUACUAAUGAUCCCAUUAAUCACUUAUCAUCCAAAUUUCUUUCUAUUUUACCUCAACUACCCUCUACUUUUACCUAUAAACCAUAUAAUAAGGGGUAUUAUAGUCUUUUUCCCCCUCAAAUCUUAAUAUAUACUAAAUAACCUAGAAUUACGAUUAAUCUAGGACAGAGGUAGUAUCUUCCAAGUUAAACUGUGCCACUUAGAUUGGCAUCCCUUUAUGAGCUCAUAAACAAAAGUUACACACACACUCACUCUCUCAAUGAGCUCCUUUACGGUGCUCCAUCUCACCAAUCCAAAUCCAAGAGGUAAAAAGCCUAUUAUACAAUCCUAGCCACUAAAAGUUUCGUGGUUUAUCUUGCCAAUCUAAGAGGUAAGAGUCAAUUACACAAUCCCAGUUACUAAAAGUUCCGUGAUUUAUCUUAUGCCAAAUAAAAGCCAUUUUGUUCUCAUAUGACCUUAGAUGAAGACAUGCUCUGUAUCAAAAUUGUAUAUCUCAAUGCCAUCUACAACUCUCUAUAAAUAUGUGGUUGACAACAUUUUCAUUUUACAUCACUUACAUGCCAAAAUAUGUGUUUGAAGUUAUCAUUUCUAUUUCCAAAUGAAUUUUUGAAGUUUUCAAAUAAGCUUGGUUAAUGGCUUGAAAUUGUAGAGCUUAGAGCUCUCGGCGAGAUCUACAGCUCUAUAGUUGAUUACCGUUUUAUUUGAAAUCAUUUAUAGUGUUAAAUAUGUAUUGCAAAUUUUGGAGAAAGGUGAACUAAAAAAUUGCAUCCCUCAUUUAAGAAAAAGUGUUUUAUAUGUGAGAUGGUAAGUAGCCUGAGUUCCUAGGUUCGAACCUUAUAUACUGCACGUGUAUGAAUAUCACAACUUUGUGUCUUAGGGACGACCAUGUAUAAAUACUUAAAAUACAUAUAAGAUAUCGAUGUUGCCUAUCCUAUUAUAAUGAAUCUGGACAAGCGGCUUAUAUAUUCUAAUGUGAGUUAUUUUGAAACGGAGGGAAGUAAAAUAUACCUAGUAAAAUAUGACAAAUCUUUUUUGGUUUUCUUUGGCACAUGGAAAAAAUCAUGUCACUGACGCGGCUAAAACUAGAUACAGAGACACAGAUCUUCACAUCACAUAUGCAGACCUACAUACACGCGCGCGGGUAUGUGAGUAUCUCGCAUCUAUAAUCCAUAUUAACCGGCCCGCGUCUAUGAUUAACAAUUCAGUGUAAUGUUUGAUAUUUUCUAUUUGUUAGUCCCCUAAAAUUCAACAAUACAUAAAAUUGGAAUGUUAGUAUAACUCUGUGGCAACUUUAUUAAAUACUAUCUCCGUCCCGAAAUAUAAGAAGUUGUGAUUGGAUACAGGUAUUAAGAAAGUUACUGAAAUUAAAUGGAGAAUAUUGUGAUCGGUUGAGAAAAAAAAGAGGUAUAUAGAAAAUUUGAAUGGUAAAAGUUUGUGAUUUGUUGAAAAAUUUUGAAGUUUAAAAGUUGUUAUAUUUUGGGACGGAUGAAGUGCUAGAGAGAAAAUUCCCGCGCCAGUUGGCGUGCCCGUUAUUUCAUGCCCCAUGUAUACUUGUUUCUUCUUUCUGCUAACAGGUUGACCAAGUUUAUAUGUAAACUAGAAAAUCAGCGCGCCUAUUGGCGUGCUAACUUGUUUAUAGCCUAUGUGGCUAAUGGCUUACUAUUAGAUGAUGUUGGUUUGUUGAUUUGUAGGAAUGAAGAUGGUGGGCGAUGUUCUUUCGGCUAUUAUUUUUCAUGUCGGAGUUAUUAUUUUUUGCAAUAUUUCAAGUUGUAGAUUCUCUUUAUUCUUUGCGGAUAAAUCUUGCGCUUCCUUUUAUCGUGACAGCAAUGUUGUAAACUUAUAAUUUCUUAUCGUUUUUAUCAUUCCUGUGUUGAAAAAAAGAUUGAUUAUAUAUUUGACAUUAUUUAUAGAUAUUUAAUUUUCCUAUUUAUUGUUUUUUUUGUUUUUCGAGAAUACCAAUGUUGUCAUCUAGUGACUUGGAUAUGGUGUAUCGUGUUUACUAAAUGUACAUUUAUUUUUUCUAACCUAUAGUAUCUCAUAUUUUAACAGAUCAGUUUUUUCUACUUAAUUUCUCACCUUGUCUAAUUUUUCUCUACUUCUUUUGUCUCAGUUGUUGUCCAUUGGUGUAACGAAAUGUUGUCUGAUCCUGCGCGUGAUUAACCGAAGAUGCUACGCGCAAAGCGUCGCUUAGGCCCUGUUUAGUUCCAAAGUUUUUUUUUCCAAACUUCCAACUUUCCAUCACAUCAAAUCUAAAAGUUUUAGGGGCAAAAUACUCACGACAAUUUUCUAGCAAAUCCGAUUAUAAAGGCCAUCUGCAUUUUUUUUCUUCCCCGUCGUACAUACUUCCACAAGAUUAAUUGAUUUAUCCCAAAAAAGUAUGAAAUAGUGAAGUUAUAUAUCAGAUAGAAAAUCAAAUAUAGUUGGCACAUUUACAGAUAGAUCUUUUUCAGAUAAUCAAAUUCAUUCCGACCUUGACUUCAAAAGAAGCUACAACCAAUUUACCGAUAGAUAGUCUAUGAGAAAAUAUCUUCUAUACCCUUGAAAUUUUAGCUAGUCCUUUCUAUAUCCCUGAAUUUUGCUUACUUAUACACCCACGAAAUUUGAUUUUGAUCCCUUCCAUAUCCCUCCCGUCAGUUGACCGUCUAAUUUCUAUAAAAACGACCAUUUUACUCUUUGGAUGAACAUAGAAAUUUAUGAAUUACAUUAUUAAAAAUGUAAAAGUUUGUCGCAUGAGACUAUUAUGGGUAUGAUUUUGUUGUGCGAUGCAUUAUUUAUCACAAAAUUUAUUUUUAGAUGAUGAAAUAAAAAAUAUGUAUUUAUUUUUAAAAAAAGUCAUAAAAAAUUGACGAGCAUUCAUAUAAAUAUAGGACUAACAAUGCUCCCAAUAAUAUUUUUAGGAAUGCUCUCGAUAAAAAAAAUCCAUUGUCCUAUUAAAAUUUCGAAUAAAUAUUUUAAUUUAUUACAUUUGUUUCAUUUUCAAAACUUAUGUCAAAAUUUUCUGCACUAAAUAUUUAGUCUUAUUAGUUUCAUAAAAUACACAUAUUAUGCACUCAAACAAAAUUUUCAAUCGUUUUUCAAGACUAUAUUCAAACCUAAAGCAUCAAAGGCAAAAAGACAUUUGCAACCAAAUGCAAUAGUGAAAUGAAGGAAAAUAUAACGGUAGGUAGGGGCAUGAAAGGGAUCAAGUUGAAAUUUCAGAGGUAUAGAAGGGAUCGGAUAAAUUUAAGGGGUAUGAAAGGGAUUGAGUGAAUUUUUAGGGGUAUAUAGGGAAUUUACUCGUAGUCUAUUGGUAUAUUUAAUUCACGCUCAUGGCACAGUGUUUCUGUAAAUUUUGCUGAAAAUGUACUAUACCUCUUAUCUUGCAGAUGGGCCCUGAUACUGGAAAUUAGGCUAUGCACCUUCCGAUGGUCAGGUGGCUGGUGCGGCCGAAGCUGCGAGAGAAUGCUGGUGAGGAUCUCCUCAUAUCAGGCUUCUGGGAUGCCCGCACAAAUGCCCGGCACUCAAAUUGCCGUCCAAUUUUUCUGUACAGCUCGUUGGCAAGAGUGGUCUUCCCGAUUCCUCCAAAUCCAACAAUAGACAACACCCUGAGCUUCUCCUCUCCUGCGUGUCCAGACAGAUAGUCCUCGAGCUUGUUCAUGGCGGAGUCAACCCCAACAAGGACGUCCUCGGCACGUUCCUCGCACCGCACAGGACGCAAAGAAGAGCUAGAAGAUACAUCGAUACCACAGGUGUUAGUAGAAGCAAUGGCAGCGGUGGUGGCUACGCCAUGCAUGGUUGCUGUACAUGGCAUGGCGUUGAAGCGCCUCCUGCGCGCGUGUGCUGAACUCUCUCAUCUUGUUGGCCAUCCAUAGCCGCUGCUUCAGCUUCUCUUGAACCCAAGGUGGCAGCUUGUUCCCAUGCCGCCGGUUGAACUUACGGCGGCGAAUAUUAUCAUUAAAUCCGCUUCGAGAGUUGGCCAUGGCAUGCUCAUAGUGGUCGAUGCAGUCCUCGAUGUCGUAGGACAGCUCUCGCACCUCCUUCAUCCAGCACCUCACCACCAUGGCAUUGUCCUCCAGUUUUGGCUUGCUGUAUCCAUGGAGAAUGGAGAUUAUCUUCUCGACAUCCUGCUUGAUGAGUGGUAACUCGUCUUCUGCCCCGUUGGGCAGGAUGUUGCCGUGACGACGCAGAAGCCCCUCGAGCCUACCGGGGAGGCUCGGCAUGGCGCCCCACAAGCCACAGGUCGACAGAACCUCCUCCUCCAUUUGAUAUCUUCGAUUCUCUGAAGACAAAUUAAAAGUGCAAUACAGAGAUUAGCCAGGUCCGCGUAUUAGAUCACAAAGAAACAACGAUGGUGAAUUAAUGAGAGAGUAAUACAACAACAUUGAUCCUACAAAAGAACAAAAUUGAUCAUACAAGUUGACGAAGAGUAGGAUGAGAGAUGUCUCAAGCUCUCCGCGCGCACAAAUGGGGUGGUAAGGCAAAUAGGACAGAUCUGUUCCCCACUUUGCUUCAUUUCCUAAUUCCCAAGGUCGAUCGUCACUCCUUUCCUUUCUUCCACAUUGUCUGUCCUUUGGUAUACAUCACUCGAAUACGCCAUUGCAGUUGGUAAUUAAAUUCAUGGAUAUGGUCUAUAUAUAUACCACUCGUUCGUUAUAUUCAAGUUGCUCUCACAGUCUCACGCUAGAGAUAAUACCAAUUAAUGUCAACUAGGCCAUGUGAACUGUUGCUGCCAGAGAGUAUCCAUAAUUUCCAUCUCCCUGUCGAUAGAUUAAUACGUAGCAACUCUGACCAUGUCAAUGUUAUUAUAUACUGCUACAUCACUCCUAAAAUAAGUGCAGCCAUGGAUAUCCGUGUUCAACGUUUGACCAUUUGUCUUAUUUAAAAAAAUUAUAAAAGAUUAAUCACACAUAAAAUACUAUUCAUAUUUUAUCAUCUAAUAACAAUAAAAAUAUUAAUCAUAAAAAAAUUUCAAAUAAGAUGAAUGGUCAAAUGUUGGAUAUGAACAGUGCAAAACUGCACUUAUUUGGGGACGAAGAGAGUACCUCCUUUUCAAAAUGUAUAACGCCAUUGACUUUUUCAUAAUGUUUGACCAUUCAAUUUAUUCAAAAAUUUAGUAUAAAUAUGUAAAAUUAUAAGUUAAGAUUAUAUUUUAUUUGAUACAACACUAUCAUUGCCAGCUACUAGCACAAACCUACAACGAGAAAAUAUUGUUGUUCCGUGCCACGAACCAGUAUUAUAUUGUUACUGUUAUAUAGUCCGUUUGACGGCAGUGAUACAUCGAAGUAAGUACCCUCCCAAAAAAAAGAAAAAAAAUGCGGCCCAUCUUAAUCUUGAAAAUAUUUUUUCAGUACAUAAUCUUCAUAUUAGUGCCAACUUUCUUCCUUAUUAUUGACUACGCAUUGAUUGUUCAUAAUGAAUUUGAGGUGGUUGAUCUGGGAGUGGAUUCUAAUCCAUACUGGGGACAUCCCCUUUAUACCUUUUCUUUCCAAAUUUCAAUUUACAAUGUAGAGUACGGUGAUAUCUAUGGUCCACUAAAAAUCAAGUUCAAAUUCAACCUACAUAUCGAGAAACAUUUUUUUUUACAAAUUCAGAUGUGAGCAGUACAGCUACUACUCAUAUGCUAAAUUUGUCUUUUUUAUAUCUCAACGUGUGAGUUGAGUUUGGAACUAAAAUUUUAUAGAGUUGUAUAGAUAUAUUGUAUGAGUGUUUUUAAUUUUUUCUAAAACUUUUCAUAACUGUUCGGAUAGUUUUUAAGCAAACCUGAAGAGAUCAAAAUACUUUCCCGGUUAAUCUGAAUAAUAUAUUUAUCUAUUGGUUGGGUUCUCUUAUUGCAUCGAAGAAAUAUAGAUGACAUUGGACUACUAGCCCAUGAGAUUGUGGCGGUUCAAAAAUAGAUCAUGACGUACGUUCUUCCUGAUGCAAUGCAUUAAUAUGUACGGCUUGUUUCCACGAUCCAGAAAUUGUUGAUCUCGGCAUUAUUCAUGCUUCAGAUCUUGAAUCGUCUAAUGUGGUGAACCGUAAGAACCCUUCUUUCACCGUAGUGAGCUAGCAUGGACCGUCUAAUCUCCUCUAGAGUGACUGCGCAAACAAGGCAAGAUUUGGUGUUUUUUAAACAAAAAACAGUUCAUAAUUUGGGUAUCUCGAUAUAUAGGAUACAUCAUAUAUGUAACUAUGCAAAAAGUCAAUUCUACACCUUAAUAUUGUAAUCCUUAUUGAAGUCCAUCUGCCGAAAUUGUAUAAAUGUGCUAGAGAUUAAUUUGCCAUGGAAGGCUGGGAUGCUGCUUCGGUGGCCGUUACCACCACCGGAUGCGGAUGGCCGAUCACCUGAAGCCGUGAAGAAGAAGGAUCUGAAAGUCUCAUCCUCUUAAGGCUAGAAUCCCGUUCAUCUUCUGAACUUGCCUGGCCUACACAAAUUCUCCUCUUCUCCAUUGGUCUUCCCGGUUCCUCGCUUUCCACCGAAUGAACCUCUCCGAGCAACAAAACUCUAGGCCUGUUUGGGUGGUUCUUUGCAGCCUGUUCCCAAUCUUGCCUUGUUUGCGCAGUCACUCUAGAGUCAAUCGUGACUUCCUUGAGGUGUUUCAGGUGUCUGAUCUCGAUACCAGAAAGACCGACUAGUCCUUGACAGAGCAGCUGGAGUGAAACAAGGUUUGGCAUAGCUCCUUGCUCGAACUUUGGUAGUGCUGAAGCCGCAUUUUUCACCACAAAGCAUAGGCGCCGCAGGCUCAGAAAUGCUCCUAGUUUUAUCUCGAAAUUCUCGAGCUUGUCUGCAACCAAUUUGAGGUAAAGCAGGCUGUUCAGAUUGGUCAGUGCUGACAGAUGCUCUUGUGUCAGUGUAGCUGAUGAAAUGCACAGCUCAAUGAGACCUGACAGCAAGGUAACAAACAGGGGCAACUGGAGUAAGUUGCCAUGUAGCUUCAGCGACUUCAGAGUAUAUUUGUAAUCUUCAGAGCAUGGCUCCAAAUGAAUCGAACUCAGGAAAUUUUCAGAGCAUUCUUCGGAAUCAAGUGAGAGAAAACGGACUCGGUCCAUGUCAAUGGGAGUCUUGGUAAAUUCCUGAAUGGCCUUUGAAAGAUCAGCAAUGUAAUUACUGCUACCUUCAACAUGCUUGCACCAUAUCUUAACCUUCCUCAGUUUUUUCAUAUGACCAAUAAGUUGCAGAAAUUCCUUUCCUUCUUCAGUGAUAAAUCCUGCUAAAGUUUUCAAGUUGCUCUUAUUUGAUGAAAAGAAUUUUUGUAGUUUACUCAUCUUCUUCGCAUUUUUUAGAUCAUCUUUGUGAAGCAUGAACUUUCCAAACAAGUGAGCUAAGUGGGGCAGCAUUAUAGCUUCAAUGGGCAAAAACUUGAUCUCCGUUCUCCUUAAAUCCAGUGUCUCUAAACAAUGCAGCCCUUGAAUACUCCUUGGAAGCUCAUUGAUAUAGCCCCCAAGGCUCAGGUAUUUCAGAUGCCACAGUUCAUACAUGUGUUUCAGAUGAUCGUCAUUCAAACCAUUGCAUUCUUGUAGAUCCAAGACUCGUAGAAGCUUGCACUUGCGAAGACAAGAAAUUGUAUCACCUGCAUCCCCAAAGAUUGUCAGAGAUCGGACUCGAGAUAAUUCUUCGUCAGAUGCCACGCAUUCUGUCUGUUUAGCAGCAUCGACAGAAAGGUGGCGCGCAUUGCUAGUAUUGAUUCCAACUCUUGGAUGAUCAUGCAAUGAUGUCCCGAUGAAUCUCUGGGCCAAGGACUUGUUCAGCAAAAACUCGUGCAUGAUUCCAUGAGUUUUGCACGUCUUCACUUCAGAAUUGUUCCUCGUGUCAACAGGCUGAAUGAUAUUCCGGUCAAUAAGCUUUCUGAAAUUCUUAUCUGCAGUGUACUCUUCGCUACGACGAGGGUCAUCGCUCCGUGCAUAUCCUUCUGCUAACCACCGCCUGAUUACAACUUUCUUCUUGAGAGGACGAUUGUUUGGGAAUAUACCAAGAUACAGCAAGCAGCUCAGAGUAUAGCCAGAAAAACUGUCAUAGUUGUCAAGGAGCACCUUCCUGAGUUGUGCAAAGCUGUAAUGGCCAUCCUCUUUCAGAUCAGAACCAAGGUUGAGGCACAGCUCUGCACACAGCUCUCCUGUGGGCUCACUUGAGCUCUUCAGAUAAUCAGAGACACUAACCAGAGCCAGAGGAAGGCCAUCACAUUUCGCUAAUAAUGAUGCUGGACCUUGCCCCGGUUCAACUGAUCUGAGCCCUGAAAAUGCUAGUUUCUUGGAGUCCUCUUUGCCAAGGGUCUUCAUUUGGUACACAUAACCGUUGCCAUGGCUGCACGUAUUAGCUACUUGCUGAUUAUCUGUCGUCACUAUUAUCCUGCUGCCUGUACCAUUGUCUGGAAAGAUCGACUCUAUGAUUCUAAGUUGAUCCACAUCUAUGUCAUCGAUGACAAUCAAAUACCUAACAGACAAAAAUGUACAAAUGAUAAGCAAAUAAAUCACAAAUCCUGCUAAUGUAAUAGUCAUUAGUUAGAGAUUUGCUCCGGUCCAACGAAAAGUACCUCGAGAGACUGGUACCUUACGGUGCAAAAUCGUUUCCGAUCGUUGGAUCUAACAAUACCCAUCUUGUCUAGCUAGAUCUAACGCUCAGAAACGAUUUGGUACCGUGAGGUACCGAUACCUCGUGUUACUUUUCGCCUAAUACCUCCUAAUACUAGUACUUACAGUAAAAUCAUUGAGAAAAAAAAAUGAGGCGCAAUUACCUCUUGUCCUUGAGGUACUCUCUGAGCGAGGCUUCGAGAUGCUGGCCAUCCACAUCCAUGGCGUCACCGGGACGCACUUGCCGGAGUACAUCACGCAGGAUCCCCCUCAUCCAGUCGCUCGUCUCCGGCGAGCCAACGGCGGCGAUCCACGCACGGUGGUAGAAUUUCUCCUUUGUGCGAGGGUCAUCGUAGACCGCCUUGGCGAGGGUGGUCUUCCCCAAUCCACCGAACCCCACGAUGGAGAUGACCCUCACCUGCUCCGGCUCGCCCUCCACUUCGUCUAGCAGCGAGAGGAGCUCCUCCAUGGGCUCCCCGAUGCCCACCGGAGGACCGCACGCGGCGCGAGCCGGAGUCGAUGACGACGACCUCGGCUCGAAUCCACUAGGCGGCGGAUUCGGAUUGAUGAUGUUGCUGAUGACCCGCUGCUGCGCUUCGCUGAGGCGCCUCCUCAGCUUCUGGAUCUCUUCACUGAAGCUCGAGCGGCUCUGGACCUUCUUGACCUCGUGCUUGACUCGGCAAACCAGGGAUGUUCUUCCGCUGGGAUUGCUGUGGCUGCAGGUGAGGAGGUGCGUGAAGCGGUCGACGCAGUCCUCGAUGUCGUGCUCGAGGUCGAGCAUCUCCUCGGCGUGCAGCCGCGCGACGGCCGUGCGGGCGUGGGCGUCGCUCCUCCCCAUGGAGAGGAGCUGGUCGUCCAUGGCGGCGGCGACCAUGCGGAACUCCUGCUGGAGGGAGGCGACCUCUUGCUCGAGGGCCUUGUGCUUGUUGUACUCCUUGUCCAGCACCAUGAACAGCUUCCCCAUGACCGCCUCCAAGAAAGCGCUCGCCGCCGCAGACGCCAUGGACGUCGGCGUGCCUCUCGAUACGAUUACUUUGCUGGAUCAGACAGAUUGGCUGAGGGAGAAGCAGCUGCGAGCAAGCACCCUCCAAGUCUUCCACAAGUCAACAACCCACCAGUCUCGUGUAUAUGAUGCGUGGAUACCCCCAAUCUUGGGUAAAAUUAGAUGUUUGGGUGGGCUAAAUUUUUUAGUUCUAUCACAUCGGAUGUAUGUGUAUACGUACGGCUGCGUUCGAAUCUUCUCAUCAGGAUGAAGAUUAAAAGUGGGCACACAAAAACAAGGAAGCUAUUAGCGCAUGAUUAAUUGUGUUUUAAUUACUACAAAUUUGAAAAAUGGAUAUAUUUUAUAUUUUAAAGCAACUUUUAUAUAGAAAGUUUUCAUACAAAGUGCACCGCUUCGUAGUUUGAAAAGCGUGCUAACGGAAACCGAAUUAAAAUUUUUAUCAUCAUGAGAAAAGAACUGAGCGAUUUGGAGUAUUAAAAAUAGAUUAAUAAAAAACUAAUUUCAUAAAUGAGAGCUAAUCCGCGAGACGAAUUUUUUAAGCCUAAUUAAUCCAUAAUUAGCAAAUGUUUACGGUAGUAUCACAUAGGCUAAUCAUAGAUUAAUUAGGCUUAAUAGAUUCAUCUCGCAAAUUAGUCUAAGAUUAUGGAAUAGGUUUUGUAAUUAAUCUAUAUUUAAUACUCUAAAUUAGCGUCAAACAUCCGAUGUGACAGGAACUAAAAUUUAGUCCCUGUGAACCAAACAUAUGGACCAAACAGGGCCAGGCACACAUUUUAGUCUAGGGGUGUAAAGUUUUGGCGUGUCACAUCGGAUAUAUGGACACACAUUUGAAGUAUUAAAUAUAGCCUAAUACCAAAACAAAUUACAGAUUGCGCCUGUAAACUACGAGACGAAUUUAUUAAGCCUAUUUAAUCCAUUAUUAGCAAAUGUUUACUGUAGCACCACAUUAUCAAAUCAUGGACUAAUUAGGCUUAAAAAUCCGUCUCACAAUUUACACCAAACUGUGUAAUUAGUUAUUUUUUUUGUCUAUGUUUAAUACUUCAUACAUGUGUCCAAACGUUCGAUGUAAUAGGGUGUAAAAUUUUUGCCUAGGAACUACACAGGGUUGUACUCCUCCCACUCAAUUUCAAAUACUUACUUAUCACCGAAUACUAUUUAUUUAUUUAUUUACUUUAAUAGCUCGUAUAUACUUCAAAAUACCCCUCCGUUUUAUAUUAUAAGUCAUUUGAUUUUUUUUCUUAGUUAAAGUUCUUUACAUUGAUAAGUAUGUAAAAUAAUAAACAGCAUCUACAACACUAAGGGUCUAUUCACAAGAACAGUUUCCCAACCCUAAUAGUAAAUACGGAAAAUGAAGCAGUCUAUUAGCGCACGUGAUUAAUUAACUAUUUGUUAUUUUUUUUAAAAAAAUGGAUCAAUAUAACUUUUUACAAAAAACACACCGUUUAACAGUUUGAAUAGCGUGCGCGCGGAAAACGAGAGCAAGGAGUUGGGAACCAGCUCUUGCAAACAGAGCCUAAAUUAGUUUCAUUAAAAUUUACAUUGAAUAUUGAAUAUAUUUUGAUAAUAUGUUUUUUAUUCAUAAUAUUACUAUUUUUUUUACAAACUUGAUUAUAAAAGAAGUUUGACAAAAAAAAAAUCAAAGGUAGUAUGAUAUAUCAAAGGUCAUAAAUAUGCUAUACAACUUCUAUUAAUCACAAAUGAAUUGUUUCACAGUUAUUGAUGAUCCAAGCUGAAAAUGGUCAACAGUGCCUAAGCAAAGGAACGACUACAAAGCAAGUGGAUAUAUUCCGUUACAAGUGGAAACUCUUUUGGAUUCUCAAGGAGAUGUUACCUCAUUUUAACCAUCUAAAUAGUCUGAAAAAUUCUCAAAAAAUUUGACAACAUUCAUAUUCAUACAACAUGUAUAUUCUAUUCUACAAAAUCUUAGAUCCAAGCUUUAUACAUUUCCAUAUAAAAAUGUUCCGGUAUAAAUAGUAGUGGUACUAUUUAGACCAGAAUUUGUCUCCUUUUUUUUCCUCAAUAUGUAGGUUGAAUUUUAGGGGUGAAAAUGGAUUAGGUAAUAUCUGAUCCGAUCUGCUCUGAAUCCGUCCGAAAAAAGGAUAUGCUAUGGGUUUUUAGAUAUCCAGCGAAUAGUAAGAUACGAAUUCGGAUGCAGAUAUGGUAUUCCUAUAAUCCGGCGAAUGUGAAUUAUCGACAUUUUUAUUGGACCAAUAGGCCAUUUGCCAGAUAAUCCGAAAUUAUCAAUCCAUGUAACCACUCGAUCUGUUGCAUAUAACAUGAGUUGGCCUGUCCAAUGGUCUAAUUCAUCAAUUAACCUAGAUUUCUUAGUCUAAGGCUUUCAUCGUAUCAUCUCACACUUGCUUAACUGCAUUUUUAUAUUUAUGGACAUCAUGUAUUCAUGUUAUUUAGCACUUAAGCAUAUAAUUGUAGCGAUGGAUUGUUCAUUGAUUAUUAUAUUGUUGCCCUUGCAUUGCAAACUCGAUGUUAUAUUUAUUGCAUACACAACUGGGUCCACACCAUUUCCGACAUUCAAAACAACCCGCUUCGCAUCCACACACUAUUCGCACCUGCUUCGAUCCCACUUAAAAAUAUGGUUCAAGAUAGGGUAUGACCACUAUCUGUCCGAAUCCGUUCCAUUUUCACUCGUAUUGAAUUUUGACUUGAUUUUUGGUGAAUGGCUAGAUGUCACUAUACUCCACAUUAUCAAAUCUUUUACAACCAUUUACAUUAAAUUUAGAAGAAAAAGGUAAAAAGGGAUAAACCCUCGAGGGAUUAGAAUCCAUUCCCAUCACAAGUAGUGUUUCUUUACUCAAACUUCUCAACAUUAAUAUCCGCUGAACAAUCUAUCUAUCUAUUAUAUUAUUAAGACAGCUUGAAACAAAGACACAUGUUCGCUAUGAAGUUUUAGGAAUUACCACAUUAAUCACAGAAGAAAGAAAAAUAUUAGCCAUCAGAUCUCAACAUAUCUAAAUUUUAAUGGCUGAGAUUUAAUGUAUAGUACUCCCUCCAUCCCAGAAUAUAAGAAUUUUUAGGAUUGGACACAUGUAUUAAGAAAGUAGGUAAAAUUUAAUUGGAGAAUGUUGUAAUUGGUUGUGAAGUGAAGGUAGGUAAGAAAAUUGGAUGGUGAAGGGUUGUGAUUGGUUGAGAAGAGAAUGUUGGUGAAGAAAUUGUUAUAUUUUAGGACAAACCUUAUGGACUAAAAGUUGUUAUAUUUUGGGACGGAGGGAGUAUAAGGCCCUGUUUAUUUUCUAAAACAAAAAUUUUAAUGCUGCCACAUCGAAUGUUUGGGCACAUGCAUGGAGUUUUAAAUGUAGGAAAAAACCAAUUACACAGAUUACGUGUAAAUUGCGAGACGAAUCUUUUAAACCUAAUUGCACCAUGAUUUGACAAUGUGGUGCUACAGUAAACAUUUGCUAAUAACGGAUUAAUUAGGCUUAAUAAAUUCGUCUCGCAGUUCCCUGACGAAAUCUAUAAUUUGUUUUUGUUAUUAGACUAUGUUUAAUACUUUAAAUGUGUAUCCAUAUAUUCGAUGUGACAACCAAACUCAAAAAUUUUCUCCAACUAAACGAGUCCUAAACAAGGCCUAAAGCUGUGUUUAGAUCCAGGGGUGUAAAGUUUUAGCGUGUCACAUCGGAUAUACGGACACAUAUUUAAAGUAUUAAACAUAAUCUAAUAACAAAACAAAUUACAGAAUCCGCCUGUAAACCGCAGGACGAAUUUAUUAAACCUAAUUAAUCCAUCAUUAGCAAAUAUGUACUGUAGCACCACACAUGGCGCAUUUAGUUUUAAAAGAUUCAUCUCGCAAUUUAUACGCAAUAUGUGUAAUUAGUUAUUUUAUAUAUAUAUAUUUAAUACUUUAUAUAUGUGUCUAAAUAUUUGAUUUACCAGAGUGUAAAAUUUUACCAGGAUCUAAACAGGGCCUAAAUUUUAGAAGCUCGCACCCGGUUUCACAUACCAAACCGGACAAACAAUACAGUACUGCAAAGUCAGAAACAGGAAGGCACAAGACAACUUGUCAGACACACGGAUUACAACAACAAUUGGGCUGUGUUUAGUUCAGCGUAAAGUUUAGAUUUUGGUUGAAAUUAGAGAUGGUGUGACUGAAAAGUUGUGUGUGUAUGAUAGGUUGAUGUGAUGGAAAAGGACUGAAGUUUAGAUUCAAACUUUGGAUCUAAACACAAGUGGCUGUGUUUAGUUCAGCGCAAAGUUUGGAUUUUAGUUGAAAUUGGAGAUGAUGUGAUUGAAAAGUUAUGUGUGUAUAACAGGUUGAUGCGAUGGAAAAGGACUGAAGUUUGGAUCCAAACUUUGGAUCUAAACACAGCCACAAACUGCAUAAACCUAACCCAACCCUUUUCGCCUAAACAAAUACAAACUGCAUAAACCUAACCCAACCCUUUUCGUAUAAGCUUUCACCGAUUCCUGAUUGAUAUAAUCACAUCAGAGCUGGUUUAGUUCCCAACUUUUUCUUUAAACUUUUAACUUUUUUAUGACAUCAAAAUUUUCCUACACACAUAAACUUUCCAACUUUUUUCUUCAAACUUUCAAUUUUAAUCAAACUUCCAAUUUUAGCGUGGAACUAAGGCUGUGUUUAGUUCCCACUAAAAUUAGAAGUUUGGUUGACAUUGGAACGAUGUGACGAAAAAGUUGGAAGUUUAUGUGUGUAGGAAAAUUUUGAUGUGAUGGAGAAGUUAGAAGUUUGAAGAAUUAUUUUGGAACUAAACACGGUCUAAACACAGCCUCAAUAGUUUUUACUAGCAAUAGAAGCGCGCUACGCUGCGCCGCCCGAAUCAAUUGAAGACCAAUAUGUUUGAGGAAUAAUAUGCAUAUACUAUUCACCCAUAGCAUUGGUUUAUUUUUCGUCUAUAUCCCAUAAACUACCCUUAUAAAAAAAAUUGCACAUAAAAAAAUAUAGCGUAUAGGCUAAAGGAGAAAACCAAAAGGUAUCGGAAGUUUGAAUAAAUAGAAAAAAGGGGCAAAUUACAUGUCAAUUACAAUGAGUUUACAGAGGUUUCAAUGCUACCCCUUUUUUUCUCUAUACGCUAGAAUCACAUAGGACUAUUGGAUGCUAAAAACAUAAGACCUAAAUGCCUACUGGUGGUCCAUAUUAAACAUAUGCAAAGCUAAAAUGAACAGAUAGAAAAUGAUGUUUUUUAAGUGCAACAUGCAAGUGCCCUAGUCAACAACAAUCCUCCGUUACGUGCGGUUAGUGACAUCGGUAAACCUAAAAAAAAAGUAUACUACCUCCGUCCCAAAAUAUAUCGCAAUUUUGAGCAGUGUACCUAAACAUACCUUUCAAGAUAUAGGGCCAGAAGUUUUUACAUUUUGGGACAAAGGUAGUAGAAAGUUUUAAUAGUAAUGUUAGUACAGCUAAAACAGUAUAGUAUCAACCACUUAUAUAGAGAGAUAAUAUUUUCGCUUGGCAUCACAAUUCUAAACACAUGCAACCAAUUUUUCUACCAAAAGUUCUAUCUUUUUUGGAGUGGAGUAGUACAAAGUGCUGCUACCAUGUGGCCACGUGGCAAAGUUUAUGAGCGAAAGCAUGCAUAAUCACUUAACCAAAGUAUGGAUGCAAUAACAUAAGCCUUAUAGUUCUACAAUGCAUAUAUACUUCUUCAGGUUAGGUUCCAUUUUUUUCUUCCCUGUUCCUUUUAAGUAGCCGGCAAAAUAUACAACGCGGAAACAAAGAGCUUGUAAAAGCACAGUGGCAGCAGGCUACACUACAGUUUGACGAAACAGAUCGACUGCACAACUUUUAGGAUUUAAAAGUGUGCUUUCACAAAUAAUGAAAAAAACAUGUGUAAAAUAGACUGGUGAACUAAACAGUGAAAUAAUCUAUCUGAGCACAGACAUGUAAAAGCAAACCAACUGAAAGACAAAAUAUAAAAAAAAAUGGACUCAUGAUAUUGCUUUACCUUUGCAUCGUAGCGGUUAGGAUAUGUCUAGCAAAGCAUUCCCAUUGAACAGUUGAUGCACAAACUAAAUUGAAAUGUACCUUCAAAAGAAAUUUACGUUCGUCUCAGAUAUUAACAGGAAAUCAGCUUUCCGUGAUGGAUCCAAUCCAUCCAUGUCUUUUUCGACCUAAUAAAAAAAGAAUAUAGAUAUAUGUGAUGAAGCAUGAAUAAAUGAAGGUCAUUCUCGAGACUGCUAAUGUUUUCAUGACUCAAAAAUGGAGCCAUCCUUCUUUUAAAGAAAAUGAUUGA
rnacentral:lncRNA from 1 species